GGGUCGGUAGCUCAGUUGGUAGAGCAGCGGACUUUUAAUCCGCCGGUCGCGGGUUCGAAUCCCUCCCGACUCACCU
rnacentral:tRNA from 1 species